CCUGUAUCGACAUCUCUUGGAUUUCACAGAUACAACAUCCCCACCCCUAAAUGUGCAAUGGAGAUCAUGAAACUUCUUAUUUUGCUUCUACUGCUGACAAGUGUUUUCUGUCUGGAUGGAGACGACGGCAGAAGUGAGAACAAAUGUGCAGGAUCACAGACAAUUGAGGAUAUUUUGAAGAGGAUGGCCGGAAAACAAGCACAGGCAAAACAAACGAGGCUUCCAGAAAAGAAAGCCACAGGUGUAAGGAGCCGUUCAACAAAUAAACGU